rnacentral:rRNA from 1 species
GACGAACGCUGGCGGCGUGCUUAACACAUGCAAGUCGAACGGUAAGGCCCUUCGGGGUACACGAGUGGCGAACGGGUGAGUAACACGUGGGUGAUCUGCCCUGCACUUCGGGAUAAGCCUGGGAAACUGGGUCUAAUACCGGAUAGGACUCCUGGCUUCAUGGUUGGGGGUGGAAAGCUUUUGCGGUGUGGGAUGGGCCCGCGGCCUAUCAGCUUGUUGGUGGGGUAAUGGCCUACCAAGGCGACGACGGGUAGCCGGCCUGAGAGGGUGACCGGGGACACUGGGACUGAGAUACGGCCCAGACUCCUACGGGAGGCAGCAGUGGGGAAUAUUGCACAAUGGGCGCAAGCCUGAUUCAGCGACGCCGCGUGAGGGAUGACGGCCUUCGGGUUGUAAACCUCUUUCAGCUAUGACGAAGCGCAAGUGACGGUAGUAGCAGAAGAAGGACCGGCCAACUACGUGCCAGCAGCCGCCGUAA